rnacentral:rRNA from 1 species
UGCCAGCCGCCGCGGUAAUACGGAGUGUGCAAGCGUUGUUCGGAAUUACUGGGUGUAAAGCGCGCGUAGGCGGCUUGGUAAGUCAGAUGUGAAAUCCCUCGGCUCAACCGAGGAACUGCAUUUGAAACUGCUAGGCUUGAGUACGGGAGGGGGAAGCGGAAUUCCCAGUGUAGAGGUGAAAUUCGUAGAUAUUGGGAGGAACACCAGCGGCGAAGGCGGCUUCCUGGACCGAUACUGGCGCUGAGGCGCGAAAGCCUGGGCAGCUAACAGGAUUAGAUA